GUCUAGCGGGACGGCUACAGUGCAGGCGAUUUGGUGUCACGAUAUCUCUGUAGCAUGGGUUCGAAUCCCGGCGAGGGAAGAACAAAAAAUUUGCGUAAGCAAAUUUACAGAUCUAGCAUUGUUGGGUUGAUGUUUAGACGAGUUGUAUAUACAUAAUGUACACAGCCAUGUAUCAACAUCAUUGCUGGUGAUCCGAUGGAUACAUCUGUUGUAGAGUUGUCAC
rnacentral:lncRNA from 1 species